rnacentral:sRNA from 1 species
GUUUGCACUCAUCGGGGAAGGGUGAGAACCUUCGACUAAGGUUCGAUUCGAGCGAAAACGAGAGAACGUUGCCACAGGCAACGGCCCGAAGGGUGAGGAGCGAAGCGACGAAUAAUCCUUCCCCCACCACCA